UGGACAUGUAACUCAGCUGGUUAGAGUGUCACGUCGACAUCGUGAAAGUCGCUGGUUCGAGUCCAGCUAUGUCCAU
rnacentral:tRNA from 1 species